AGAUCAUGGCUCAGGAUGAACGCUAGCUACAGGCUUAACACAUGCAAGUCGAGGGCAGCAUGAGAUUAGCUUGCUAAUCUUGAUGGCGACCGGCGCACGGGUGAGUAACGCGUAUCCAACCUUCCCCCUACUCAGGCAUAGCCCGGUGAAAACCGGAUUAACUCCUGAUAGUUUCACUAGAUGGCAUCUGACGGUGAAUAAAGCUGUGCGGUAAGGGAUGGGGAUGCGUCUGAUUAGCUUGUUGGCGGGGUAACGGCCCACCAAGGCGACGAUCAGUAGGGGUUCUGAGAGGAAGGUCCCCCACAUUGGAACUGAGACACGGUCCAAACUCCUACGGGAGGCAGCAGUGAGGAAUAUUGGUCAAUGGGCGCGAGCCUGAACCAGCCAAGUAGCGUGCAGGAAGACGGCCCUAUGGGUUGUAAACUGCUUUUGUAUGGGAAUAAAGUCAGGGACGUGUCCCUGUUUGCAUGUACCAUAAGAAUAAGGACCGGCUAAUUCCGUGCCAGCAGCUGC
rnacentral:rRNA from 1 species